rnacentral:rRNA from 1 species
GACGAACGCUGGCGGCGUGCCUAAUACAUGCAAGUAGAACGCACAGUUUAUACCGUAGCUUGCUACACCAUACACUGUGAGUUGCGAACGGGUAAGUAACGCGUAGGUAACCUGCCUGGUAGCGGGGGAUAACUAUUGGAAACGAUAGCUAAUACCGCAUAAUAUUGAUUAUUGCAUGAUAAUUGAUUGAAAGAUGCUAUUGCAUCACUACCAGAUGGACCUGCGUUGUAUUAGCUAGUAGGUGAGGUAACGGCUCACCUAGGCGACGAUACAUAGCCGACCUGAGAGGGUGAUCGGCCACACUGGGACUGAGACACGGCCCAGACUCCUACGGGAGGCAGCAGUAGGGAAUCUUCGGCAAUGGACGAAAGUCUGACCGAGCAACGCCGCGUGAGUGAAGAAGGUUUUCGGAUCGUAAAGCUCUGUUGUAAGAGAAGAACGGGUGUGAGAGUGGAAAGUUCACACUGUGACGGUAGCUUACCAGAAAGGGACGGCUAACUACGUG